rnacentral:rRNA from 1 species
GUCUGGUGGGUAGUUUGACUGGGGCGGUCUCCUCCUAAAGAGUAACGGAGGAGCACGAAGGUUGGCUAAUCCUGGUCGGACAUCAGGAGGUUAGUGCAAUGGCAUAAGCCAGCUUGACUGCGAGCGUGACGGCGCGAGCAGGUGCGAAAGCAGGUCAUAGUGAUCCGGUGGUUCUGAAUGGAAGGGCCAUCGCUCAACGGAUAAAAGGUACUCCGGGGAUAACAGGCUGAUACCGCCCAAGAGUUCAUAUCGACGGCGGUGUUUGGCACCUCGAUGUCGGCUCAUCACAUCCUGGGGCUGAAGUAGGUCCCAAGGGUAUGGCUGUUCGCCAUUUAAAGUGGUACGCGAGCUGGGUUUAGAACGUCGUGAGACAGUUCGGUCCCUAUCUGCCGUGGGCGCUGGAGAACUGAGGGGGGCUGCUCCUAGUACGAGAGGACCGGAGUGGACGCAUCACUGGUGUUCGGGUUGUCAUGCC